UACGUAGGGUGCAAGCGUUAAUCGGAAUUACUGGGCGUAAAGCGUGCGCAGGCGGUGAGCUGUGUCCGAUGUGAAAGCCCCGGGCUUAACCUGGGAAUGGCAUUGGAAACUGGCUCGCUGGAGUGUGGCAGAGGGGGGUGGAAUUCCGCGUGUAGCAGUGAAAUGCGUAGAGAUGCGGAGGAACACCGAUGGCGAAGGCAGCCCCCUGGGCUGACACUGACGCUCAGGCACGAAAGCGUGGGGAGCAAACAGG
rnacentral:rRNA from 1 species